AGCGAACGCUGGCGGCAGGCCUAACACAUGCAAGUCGAACGAAGUCUUCGGACUUAGUGGCGGACGGGUGAGUAACACGUGGGAACGUACCUUUUGGUUCGGAACAACUCAGGGAAACUUGAGCUAAUACCGGAUGAGCCCUUAGGGGGAAAGAUUUAUCGCCGAAAGAGCGGCCCGCGUUAGAUUAGCUAGUUGGUGAGGUAAAGGCUCACCAAGGCUACGAUCUAUAGCUGGUCUGAGAGGAUGAUCAGCCACACUGGGACUGAGACACGGCCCAGACUCCUACGGGAGGCAGCAGUGGGGAAUCUUGCGCAAUGGGCGAAAGCCUGGCGCAGCCAUGCCGCGUGAAUGAUGAAGGUCUUAGGAUUGUAAAAUUCUUUUACCGGGGACGAUAAUGACGGUACCUGGAGAAAAAGCCCCGGCUAACUUCGUGCCAGCCGCCGCUUAACAC
rnacentral:rRNA from 1 species